CCUACGGGAGGCAGCAGUGAGGAAUAUUGGUCAAUGGACGAAAGUCUGAACCAGCCAAGUAGCGUGAAGGAUGACUGCCCUCUGGGUUGUAAACUUCUUUUAUAUGGGAAUAAAACGUUCCACGUGUGGGAUUUUGUAUGUACCAUAUGAAUAAGGCUCGGCUAGCGCCAUGCCAGCAGCCGCGGUAAUACGGAGUAUCCGAGCGUUAUCCGGAUGGAUUGGGUGUAAAGGGAGCGUAGACGGAUGUUUAAGUCCGGUGUGAAAGUUUGCGGCUCAACCGCGAAAUUGCAGUGGAAACUGGGAGUCUGGAGUGCAGUAGAGGUGAGCGGAAUUCGUGGUGUAGCGGUGAAAUGCUUAGAUAUCACGAAGAACACCGGUGGCGAAGGCGGCUCACUGGACUGUAACUGACACUGAGGCUCGAAAGUGUGGGUAGCAAACAGGAUUAGAUACCCGUGUAGUC
rnacentral:rRNA from 1 species